rnacentral:rRNA from 1 species
AUUGAACGCUGGCGGCAGGCCUAACACAUGCAAGUCGAGCGGGGUUUUCGGACCUAGCGGCGGACGGGUGAGUAAUGCGUAGGAAGCUACCCGAUAGAGGGGGAUACCAGUUGGAAACGACUGUUCAUACCGCAUAAUGUCUACGGACCAAAGUGUGGGACCUUCGGGCCACAUGCUAUCGGAUGUGCCUACGUGGGAUUAGCUAGUUGGUGAGGUAAUGGCUCACCAAGGCGACGAUCCCUAGCUGGUUUGAGAGGAUGAUCAGCCACACUGGAACUGAGACACGGUCCAGACUCCUACGGGAGGCAGCAGUGAGGAAUAUUGGACAAUGGGCGCAAGCCUGAUCCAGCCAUGCCGCGUGUGUGAAGAAGGCCUUCGGGUUGUAAAGCACUUUCAGUAAGGAGGAAGCGUUGAGUGUUAAUAGUACUCAGCGUUGACGUUACUUACAGAAGAAGCACCGGCUAACUCUGUGCCAGCCGCCGCCGUAAGAC